CUGGAAGUAAAUGCAUGAGCUGCUUUACAGAAAUGCAUAAUGUGAGUGAUGAAAGGAACAAAUAUUCUUCCAAUUUUCCAGAUUUGACACUCAUUUAAAUGAAAGAGGCUAUUCCCAAAUGGUACACAAAUUCAGAAGUCUUUAUUUUGAAAAAAAUUCUUCCAACAGUAUUUCACAAUGAACAAGAACUUAACCAAAUUUAUCUAUCAUACUAAAGUAUUUCAGAAAUGAAUAUUGAAAACAGCCUGUAAGUUUUCAUCCAAUAUUUAAAACCACCUCCUGAACUAAAAUUGGUCUUCAAAAAUCAUGGCGUAUUAACAUUUUCCAAACAUGCCCUGCUGACUAGAAGGUCCUGUUAUUCUUUCUUUUGAACUUCCCAGUAAGUUUCCUUGUUCCCUAUUCCUAGGAUUUAAAGUGCAAAGGUACUUUUUAUGAGCUAUUAGGACAAGUAUUCUUCAUUGAAAAUAAACUUUUGCAGAAAACAAAUCCUGUGCUUGACUAACAGCAAAGACAUGUUAAGAAAUUUCUGAGCUCCAAACCAUGAGGAAUCAGAAUCACAACUUUCAGAGUAAUAACUCACAUUUUUUCUAAAGCAUAGGAAGCUAAUUUUGUAUAAUGAACAAAUGUGGUUGUGCCAAAAUAGGUUUUGCCACAGUUAAUUUCCACUUUCUCUUCUUAAAAAUAAGGUAUAGUCUAAGCUAAUGUAGAUAAGGAAAGGCACGAUACCAACAAACUGCAAAACAAAGUAUAGCCCCAAGCCAUGCACUUUUUAGAGUCAUGAGUAGGGACAAUGAAAAAAUUAAGGUGCAAAAUAGAUGUGAACUUCCACAAUCUUUCAAUGGACUGUCUUAACAGUUUAAUUUAAAAGCAUAGGCUUUUUCAUAUAUCUUCAGAUAGUCAGAGAGAUUUUUUUUCUUCUUUAAAUGGAAGAAUUUCUUAAAUGGAAGCACAAGAUCAUACCUACACAGCUGGUGAGCCUCAAAAUAGAAUAAUGUCUACUUUAUUAAUAAAGUUUCCAGUCAGGCAGAAUCAAGAGUAAUCUUCAUAUAUGCAUAAGGAUAUUAUCAUUAUAACAAUAUUUUUAGUAGAAAAGUCUAUAAACAAAUGUUCUCCCAAAGGGACAUCCAUAUAAUGGAAUCCUGGAGACAUUAAUGUUAGAGCUGGAAGGUGGCAAUAUGGAAAGACAACCAAGUUAAACAAGAACCAAGUCACAAACUUGAACAUUUAAAAUAAGAACAGGAAGAGGCAUACAGAGAGAGAGCCAUAUAUAAAAUAAACGAUAACAUUUCUUAAAGACUACACAAGAAUACAAGAAAUUAUAUGCCUCUGGGGUAUGAGAAUAAAGUCACAGAGGGAGACACACUUUUUGACUUUAUGCCCUUUGUGUAUACUGCAUAAUUUUUAGAAAUCAUAAGCAUAUAUUAUAGCAUACAAAAAACCUUUAAAGUCUUUAAAAAACCUGAUUGUAACCAAAGCAUUCUAUGAAACAUUGACUAUGUAAGAUUAGUUUACAAUCCCUUGCUGCCUUUAGUUAAUGAUCAUAUAGUCAAAAUUAGAAGGCUCCUUGGCGUUUGCUUCCUCUGUCUCUCCACUCAAGAAUGAGGGAAGAUGCUGAGAAUUUAGAAUUCAAAUUUUACUCUCAUUGCUUAAAUUGUAACUUGGAUAACAUCUCAAGAUUUCAGAGAACCGAUUAAAAAAUUAAUCUAUGGGCAUUUUAAUCACCAUCUAAAAUAUUUUAUCUAGGAUCACUUAUCUUUUUUUAUAAAAGCUCAAAUCACAACAUUCUCUUUUCAUCAGUCCCUACAGCCCUGUGUUGGACAAGCACAGAUGUCAAAAAUACACUUAAAUAUACGUUGAAUUUUUAUCCACUAGAAUAAAAUAAGCAGAAUGAUAUGCAUUCUUGGCGAUAGUCUUCACUGGAAAAUACCACUGUCAGCCCAAACUUACACAACUGACUUCAAAAUCAGACUAAGAUGUGGCAUAAGAAGAGCUAUUUCCUACCUUCACUAUAUAUUCAGGAUUUGCCAACUCCAAGGCCUUGAAAAACAUGUGAAUGUUUGAGACUAAGAAAAAUUGGGAAUGGUAAGCUAGUGGCCACCUUAAGAGUACAUGCCCCAUUUCAAAAAGAUGGAUUCAGAAUGCAACGUUUUAAAACACUGUGCUGGUCACACAAAACAGAACUGCAGACAGAAUUCAGUGUAAGCCUUGAAUGUGCAACCCCUAUAAGAGCACAAUAAUUGGACUUUUUAAAACCAAGGUUCACGAUACUUGGGUCUUUGCAGAUUAAAUACCUCAGUGCCCAGUAUAUCUCUAAAAAUAAACAAGUGUUCAAAUGCUUGCUAAAUGAAUUAACAAUAUAAAAGCUCUCCAAAUACUGGAUAUAAUCAUCAAAUGACCAAUACAUUUAAUUAAUGAGUUGUGGAAUUGUAUGUCCUUUGCUGUGCUGAAGCUGGUUUGCCAAGGCUUGGGAAAGCCACUGGUUGGCUAUCUCUUUCAUCAAACUGCAUUUAAUGACAUCAGAUUGGCAGGUAAAAUCACCAUGAAGACAGUAUUUAUACCAUAAAUAUUAGUAAAUGCUACAAAACAGGGCCUUUUUUCUUUCAUGAAAGAUGGUUGUUAAACAUUCAGCAGCACAACACUGGAUUACAUCGUGGUUAUAUAUUCAUCUGUUCACAAACAACCACGUGAAAAGUUUAAUGUCACUAAGUUUUAAAACAUAAAAAGAAAAACUUAACUAAUGAGGAUGAAUACAACAGGUUAAAUACAAAUUUUAAUAUCACCUUUUAAAAAAUAAAUUUUAAAAGUGUAUAGGCCACAAACUGUAUCAAUAAAGGUGGAAUGCUUUACAAAAUAGGAGUCUGUGAUACUUCAGAUGAGUCUUCAAUCUAAAGCACGCUCCACUAGUUACCAUAUUAAUUUACUUCUAAAGUUAAAAAAAAAAACCAAGAAUAAACUGUACUGAUUUCAUCAAAUUAUGAAAGGAAUUCAAGUGAUUAAAGUUUUUUUAGAUAUACAAGACAAGAACGUUAACUUGUUCAGAAUUUCAAAAUAUUAAGAAAGAAUGCAUUCAUAUAUAAAUGUGAUAGCAUUUAAUCCAAAUCUGUUCCCCAGAGCAAAAAGCUGCCACUAGCUUAACCUCUCUAUGCUUUGCUUCUUUCAUCCUAAAAGUAUAGGUCCACUGCAGGGAUUGUAAGAGAUGAAAUAUGAAAAUUGUUUUACAAAUGACUAUCUCAUACACAGCCCAUAAUACCACUGCUAUUAUUACCUUGAAGUAGUGUUAAAAAGUCUGCAAUUUCAGUUCUCACUAGCAAACAAAAAAAACCCAGGGAAUAGUUAUGUUUGCCCUGCAAGUAAAUACUGUUCUAGAAAUACACAAAUUUAAACUAGAUGUACACUAGACAGC
rnacentral:lncRNA from 1 species